UGGGGAAUUGUUCGCAAUGGGCGCAAGCCUGACGACGCAACGCCGCGUGGAGGAUGAAGGUCUUCGGAUUGUAAACUCCUGUUGACCGGGACGAAUGGGCUGCGAGCGAAUAGCUCGCGGCAAUGACGGUACCGGUUGAGGAAGCCACGGCUAACUCUGUGCCAGCAGCCGCGGUAAUACAGAGGUGGCAAGCGUUGUUCGGAAUUACUGGGCGUAAAGGGCGCGUAGGCGGCCUUCUAAGUCAGACGUGAAAUCCCCAGGCUUAACUUGGGAACUGCGUCUGAUACUGGAGGGCUUGAGUGCGGGAGAGGGAUGUGGAAUUCCAGGUGUAGCGGUGAAAUGCGUAGAUAUCUGGAGGAACACCGGUGGCGAAGGCGGCAUCCUGGACCGACACUGACGCUGAGGCGCGAAAGCUAGGGGAGCAAACGGG
rnacentral:rRNA from 1 species